rnacentral:rRNA from 1 species
UGCCAGCCGCCGCGGUAAUACGAAGGGUGCUAGCGUUGUUCGGAAUUACUGGGCGUAAAGAGCAUGUAGGCGGAUGAAUUAGUCAGAGGUGAAAGCCCCGAGCUCAACUUGGGAACUGCCUUUGAUACUGUUUAUCUAGAGUCCGAGAGAGGUUAGUGGAAUUCCGAGUGUAGGGGUGAAAUCCGUAGAUAUUCGGAGGAACACCAGUGGCGAAGGCGGCUCACUGGCCAAAGACUGACGCUCAUGUGCGAAAGUGUGGGUAGCGAACAGGAUUAGAUA